rnacentral:tRNA from 1 species
GUCCCUGUAGUGUAAUGGAUAGCACGUUGGACUUCUAAUCCAAAGGUCGUGGUUUCGAAUCCCACCCGGGAUG